rnacentral:lncRNA from 1 species
CCGAGCUGCCGCGAGCAGGGGAUCCCGCCCGCCGAGGCUGCCCCCGGGGAAGCGGCUCCCGAGGCGGCAGCGGCGGCGCGGGCCAUGUGGGACGCGCGGGUGACUAGGAUGGACCCCACAGCUUACGCUGAGCUGCUGAAAGAAUCUGGCAACCAGGGUUUUAAGAGUGGGAACUUCUCUUUGGCCAUCAGAAAGUACGAUGAAGCCAUCCAGAUCCUCCUGCAGUUAUACCAGUGUGGUGUCAGUCUCGGCGCAGCUAGAGGAAUUCAGGAAACAGAAAGUGAAAGACGGGACUGUUGAUACGCCUUGCGAAACUUCCCCUUUUGUCUGGUUCCAGCAGAGUUCCUGGAAUGACCGACUCUGUCUCCAAGCCUCUGCACUUGUCGUUCAUUUCAUCUUGUUUAUCUGUGCUAUCACCUCCCUGGCCUGGCCACAGGGCAAGCGACCAGGAACUAAGGCUCACCUCGUCCCCUGCCCCUUCAGCUUCUAGCAGACCUGUUCCCAAACAUUUCAGGAUCACGGCCCAAUUACAAAUUGUGGAGGACCCCAGAAAGCUUUUGCUGGUGUAGUUAUCGAUAAAGCCUGUAUUAGAACUCAAAACUGAGAAACAUUUAAAAUAUGUAUUUAUUCGUUAUUUUAAAAUAUCAGUAAUAAAC